UGUAAUUUGCAGAGGAUGUUUUGGGUGCGGUCCCCGUCUAAGUGCCCUGGAACGGGCCGUCAGAGAGGGUGAGAAUCCCGUCUUGGGCGGGGUGUCCGUGCCCGUGUAAAGCUCCUUCGACGAGUCNAGUUGUUUGGGAAUGCAGCUCUGAAUGGGUGGUAAAUUUCNUCUAAAGCUAAAUAUUGGCCGGANACCGAUAGCGCACAAGUAGAGUGAUCGAAAGAUGAAAAGCANUUUGAAAAAAGAGUUAAACAGCACGUGAAAUUGUUGAAAGGGAAGCGCUUGCGACCAGACUCGCCCUCGGGGUUCAGCCGGCACUCGUGCCGGUGUACUUCCCCGGGGGCGGGCC
rnacentral:rRNA from 1 species